UCCCUGGUGGUCCAGCGGUUAGGACUCCACACUCUCACUGCCAAGGGCCUGGGUUCAAUACCUGGUUGGGGAA
rnacentral:tRNA from 1 species